rnacentral:rRNA from 1 species
ACUCCUACGGGAGGCAGCAGUGGGGAAUCUUGCGCAAUGGGCGAAAGCCUGACGCAGCCAUGCCGCGUGAAUGAUGAAGGUCUUAGGAUUGUAAAAUUCUUUCACCGGGGACGAUAAUGACGGUACCCGGAGAAGAAGCCCCGGCUAACUUCGUGCCAGCAGCCGCGGUAAUACGAAGGGGGCUAGCGUUGCUCGGAAUUACUGGGCGUAAAGGGAGCGUAGGCGGACAUUUAAGUCAGGGGUGAAAUCCCGGGGCUCAACCUCGGAAUUGCCUUUGAUACUGGGUGUCUUGAGUAUGAGAGAGGUGUGUGGAACUCCGAGUGUAGAGGUGAAAUUCGUAGAUAUUCGGAAGAACACCAGUGGCGAAGGCGACACACUGGCUCAUUACUGACGCUGAGGCUCGAAAGCGUGGGGAGCAAACAGGAUUAGAAACCCCGGUAGUCCCAUGA